CAUGCUGAGGCGGCAUCCCACAUGGCGCAACUAGAAGGACCUACAACUAGAAUAUACAACUAUAUACUGGGGGGCUUUGGGGAGAAGAAGAAGAAAAAAGAUUCGCAAUAGAUGUUAGCUCCGGGCCAAUCUUCAAAAAAAAAAAAAAAAAAAAAAAUCAAAAAGAUCAUGUCCUGCUGGGCAGAAAUAUCAAGAAAAUAUCUUUGGUCAACCAAUAUAGCAGCCUGAACUCUGUCACUUACAUUUCCUACAUCCUCUUCUAGGUAUCAUUAACCCCUUGUCAGUAACAUCCUUCUCGGAACCCUCAGGAUAAACAGUGACUCAACCAUAUCCUCCUUUCCCUCUCUAAUUAUUUGAGAACCUGAAGAUGAUUUAUAAGGAUAAGUGGUGACUGAGCACGGAUGACCCAGAUAACCCUCUCCCAGAAUAUUUUAAAGAGAUCUCUUCCACAUCACAACGCAGGGUUCUAGUUUAGAAUCUACAGGUGGAAAGUUCCAUAUUCAACCUACAUUCCCUGUCCUGUUGAACCUUUGGCUCAUAACUUGCUACUUUUUAUGUAUUUGUCCAUCUGCCCCCUCCCCAGCCUCCACUUCAAGGGAAUUCAUCUUUGAAUCCCGUGUAGCUCUCAGCAUGUGUGCUUUACAAAGAGUAGGUGCUGAAUAUUUCUAAUGAAUGAAUCAAAUCCUGAAACUGAGAGAGGACUUAAAAAGGAAGAAGAAGUGAGUAACACAGAAAAAGUUGAUAUAAAGUGAUGAAUUUUUCUGAAGGUAUCAGCUAUGAGUACAGACCUUCUUAGAACUGGCAGCCACAAGGAUCCCGAGAGCUCUUGGAAAUCACUAACCCUUCUUGCCCACCUACAGCACAGCUCAUAUAAGCUCUUUCAACUCAGUGAGAAAUAUCCCUUUCUUAGCCUUGAAGGCAACAAUUAUUUUUCCCAUUCAUUAAAAAUGCAUACACUUGCAAAAAUCAGUUCUUCGAAAAUGGUGCCAUCAGGAUCAGAGCGCCGUUGAAUUGCUCCUGCUGUUGCUAAUUAAAAGGAACUCAUGAGCACUGAGGGUUAAGCCGGAGGUUAGCAGGCAGAAGAGCUCAGUGCCAACAGCUCUGGCUUCCUGCGUCAACAUCUCUUUGUUCUCAAAGAUCUAAAAGGAAAUGAAAAUAUGCUUGGUUGGAAACAGUGGCUUUGCAGGAAAAGUCUCUUCCCAGAUUGCAGGUGCUUCGCUCUUCACUGACCUGGAAUAAAAGAAUCCCCUUUGUGAACUCCAGGGAAAUUAGUCCUCAAAAUGGAAACUUAGAAGGGACAACCAGAAAACCCCAAGUCUUACAGCAUUCUUCUGAAAACUUCAACCAUCUGAGUCAGGUGACAAACUAUAACAACCCGUGUACAUUCCACGUUUCCCCGGAUCGCCAGCACCUUUGGGAGCACAGACGCAAACCCUUCUUCUACGAGGCCCUCGAGCGGCAGACAUUGGAAAGUGCUCGCAGCCUUCUUUUGUCAGACGAGCAGAGCCACCUUGUGGUCGAUUUCGAGAACCGUGUUUGAGGCUGCAGUCUUGCAGAAAGAGCAUUAAAUGAGGGUGACUCCAGAGGGAGGAGACAGAAAAAUGAGGAAAGCAGGCAGCACUACCAAGGGAGCUUGGAAGAAGAGAGUCGUUGUUUCACCUCAAAAUCUUCUCGAAGGGAAGCUUCCUGAGUACCUCCCACCACAGGGUACCUUGAUGUGGUUUUCAGACAACACUGAGGAUGCCAAUAGUUGCCAGAACCAUUGAGUGAAAGAAGUACGAGAUCUCGAAGUAUCUCAUAAAAAUUAUCAAUUAAUGUCAAAGAAAAAAAGGAAUAUUUACAACGGACAGAUGCGGUGGGCACCGCCUUACCACAUCAUUAAAUUUAGCAACAGCCUACCAUGAGAUCUACUGCACGUCUACUGGAAGAGCUCAAAUUUAAGUCUGACAACACCAAGUGCUGCCUAGGAUGCGAUGCAACUAAAAUCCUCACACAUUGCUAGUGGACAUGCAAAAUGGAACAGUCACACUCAAAAACAGUUUGGCAGAUUCUUUCAGCUAAGCGUGUACUUACCGUGCAACCAGCAGUCCCAUUCUGGGAUAUGUACUCAAGAGAAUUGUAAACAAGUCCCACGAAUGUUCACAGCAGCUUUAUUCCUAAUAGCUAAAAUCUAGAAAUAACCCAAAUGUCCAUCAACUGGUUAAGGAAUAACAACUUUUGCUAUAUCCAUACAAUGAAAUGCUAAUCAACAAUAAAAAGGAAUGAAUUCUUGAUAGAUGCAGCAUGGAUAAAUCCCCAAGGCGUUAUGCUGAAUGAAAGAGGCCAAACACAGAAGGCGAUACAGUAUGAUUCCAUUUAUUUUACCUUCAUGAAAAGACAAAACUAGUGACAGAAAUCAGAUCCGUGGUUUCCAGGAUUUGGGGGUCGGAGGAGGAGAUAGAGUACAAAAGAACCCGAGAGUACGUUCGGGGAUGAUGGAAACAUUCCAUAUCUAGAUUGAAGUGGUUAUGUAGCUGUAUACAUUUAUACAAAACUCAUGGAACAAUAUGCUAAAGGGGAAUUGUGCUAUAUGUAAAUUAUGCCUUAAUAAGCCUAACGGAAGAAUCAGUAUCACUGAUAAUGGGGAAAAAAGACAUCACGUGCUUCCUUAUGUCAGCUGUGGGAACCAGGACCUCUGUAGUAUUCUUGCUAAAAAUAACCUACACCUAGCCACGGGGAAACAAUCUGAGAAAUCGAGCCAAUGGCACAUUCUACAAGACAACUAGCCUGGACUCUUAAAAUGUCAACAUCUUGAAAGACCAAAAAAAGUGCAAGAAAAGAGAGCCAUUCUAAAUAAAAAGAGAUUAAAGAAGCAAGAGAACCAAGUGUAAUGGGAACUUUAAUUGAACACUGAGUUUUUUAAUAAAAACCAACUACAAAAGAAAUUUUGGAGUUUAAUUUGGGAAACCUGGAUAUGACUAUAAGAUGAUUCUAUUAAUUUUUUAGACAUCGUAAUGGUAUCGUGGUUCUUUAGGAGAAUAUCUUUGUUCUUGGGAGACACAUGCUAAAAUAUAUAGAGGUGUGAAGUGUUAUGAUGUCUACAAUUUACUUUCCAAUGGUUCAACUAAAAAAU
ensembl:lncRNA